rnacentral:rRNA from 1 species
GACGAACGCUGGCGGCGUGCUAAACACAUGCAAGUCGAACGGAAAGGCCCUUCGGGGUACUCGAGUGGCGAACGGGUGAGUAACACGUGGGUGAUCUGCCCUGCACUUUGGGAUAAGCCUGGGAAACUGGGUCUAAUACCGGAUAGGACCACGCGCUUCAUGGUGUGUGGUGGAAAGCUUUUGCGGUGUGGGAUGGGCCCGCGGCCUAUCAGCUUGUUGGUGGGGUAAUGGCCUACCAAGGCGACGACGGGUAGCCGGCCUGAGAGGGUGACCGGCCACACUGGGACUGGGAUACGGCCCAGACUCCUACGGGAGGCAGCAGUGGGGAAUACUGCACAAUGGGCGCAAGCCUGAUGCAGCGACGCCGCGUGAGGGAUGACGGCCUUCGGGUUGUAAACCUCUUUCGCCAGGGACGAAGCGCAAGUGACGGUACCUGGAGAAGAAGGACCGGCCAACUACGUGCCAGCCGCCGCCGUAA